CUUCUCCAUCCUGCCAGAGACAAAAAAGCACCUGGCUGCUCACAAAGGCAUUGCAGGGGGAUGGAAAUGAGGCAUUUCUGAGACACAGAACCAUGAAAUGUGCUCAGCUGGAAGGGACUCCCGAGGAUCAGGGAAUUCCAGCUCCUGGGCCUGCACAGACACCCCAAAAAUCCCACCCGGUGCCUGCUCCACUUCUGAGCUGCACCUCCUGGGCAGGAGCCCCAGCUGGGUUUGCAGCCUCUCAAAGCGUGGAUUAGCUCACUUGAAAGAGAUUGGACAUCUGAAAAAUUUGGAUGAAGAUCUAAAUUAGGAUUUCUGAGUUCCAGGCAUGUGUGGACCUCAAAGGUUGCAUUCCCUGGUGGUGUUUGGCAGAUGUGUUCAGCUGGUUUCUGCUCUGAUGUCCCUGCUCCUUAAAAGCUGCUCUUUGCAGACUCUUCUAAUCCUUUUUUUUUAUUAUUUUUUUAAUAGGAGCAUCUGUAAGCACUAGAUAAAUAAAAAGGGAGUGUGGGAUGUUGUUCAGCACAUUACCUGCUGCCUGAGAGAGGUUGUGGAGUAACUGCAGCUCUUCUCCUCUGGAAAAUGUUUCUGGUGCAAUCCACAUUUAUGAUCCUUGGGGCCCUUCCAGCUCAGAAUAUUCCAUGAUUCUCUGACUAUUCUGCCUCCAACUAUUUUAUUCAGCAAAUAUGAAGGGUGGGGACAAAAAGGCUGAGAAGUCUUGGAGAAGAAUAACAAACAAAAAACAAUCACAUGCAAAUUCAUGGCUCAGAACCCCCACAAGCAGAGUUGUUUUUCCAACAGGUAUUUUAUGCUUAAAACUAAAAAAUUCUUGCUCUUCUCACGCAAGGCAGGAAAGAUUUGGGGUUUUAUUUAAAUGAAGACAACUAAGCCACAUUUUCUUUCACACUUUUUAUUAAUGCAACUUAAAUUAGCUGGAACCUGCAAAUUCUGCACAGGGCUCUUCACACAGCUCUGUCCUGGCAGAGGAGGUACCUAAAAUCCAGCUGUGAAUGAUGGUGCCACAUGCUGUGAUUAUUCCAUAGUGCUUCAGUGAAAGUUCAAAGAGAUUUUAUACACAGUGAUUAUGAAAAUAGAUAUAUAUUUUUUUUCCAUACAAUAGUUUUUACUUCUGCCAGCUACAAAAUAUGAUAAAGAAAAAUAAUUCAUUUGUUUCUCUAGCCCUAGGAAUCUUCUUCUACUGCAACAGACACAACAUUCCCACUGAAAGCCAUGAGGUGUGAGAAAGGACUCCAAAGCCACACUGGAAUAUUUCCCUGGAAUCUACAGGUCAUUUCUCCAAGGAUCUAGUGUUGUCCUAGAGCUUGAUCCAGAGGGAUCUGCAGGAAAUAAUCCCAAUUCUGAACCUCGUGGCUCUGGGAUUUUGAGCCUUGAAAGCUCACGUCACUUGCCUGAGUCAAACCAACUUGAAAAGGAGGGAGAAUCCUGCAAUUCCCCCCAAGCACAUCCUCUGCUGACCCUCAGCCUUCUCUGAUCCUCCCAGACUGGUGGCAAAGCAGCAUUUUUGUAACAACAACUGAGACAAGACGACAGAAAUUGCACUGCAAGGGAGAGACAACCCCCUGAAGAACUGUGGAACUCCCACUGGUUCUUAUUCUUCCUUUGUAUUUCUACAGUAACAGCUUGAUUUCUUUAAA